rnacentral:hammerhead_ribozyme from 1 species
GCACUGCCGAGGAGUCCCACAAUAGGACGAAACGGCCGUCAAUUGC